CGCAGAAUGUAUGACCAUAACAAGGUCAAUUUGAAAAGAGUUAUUAUUCAAUAUAUAAGAUGCUGUGUUUUUUAACGUCUAGAGCAACAGUCCUGCAGUGCUGAGACGAAAUUAUGAUUUCCAGUUUUGAAGAGCUUUUCACUUACAGUUCCAAGUGCUGAGAAGAAAUUACGAUUUCCAGUUUUGAAGAGUUUUCCACCUCCAAGUAUAAAUGGCUGAGAUAUUGAGAUUAAACAGUAUGCCUGUGAUCUCACGCUGGAUCCAAACACGGUUCAUCCGAACCUCUUGCUGUCUGAGAGGAACCGCAAGGCGACGCACGUG